UUUCUUCUUGUGCACUGCUAACAGAAGUUCCUUCGCCACCCAGAUUCUGAGCGGCACCUUAGAUCACUUCAGAUGGCUAACUAUGUCAUUAAGAAGAAUAGAAGUAUCAUUACCAAAUUCAGAAACAGAGGAACCUCAAAUAAUAAAGCUGGCACAAUAUGCUUUUUCAAACCAUGCAUGAGAACUGCACGUACUAUAUCAAGAAAACUAUCAUAAUAUGAUAACAUGCAUCAGCUACCGACAUCAUCUUUUACUUGCAGGAAAUCAAAUCAAAACUAUGUGCACUCCAGUCUAGUUUUAACGUGUUUCUUUAUUCAUCUCGCAAAAAAAAAAACAAGCCAGUUUUGUUAUCACCACAUUAUCCAUAAAAUAGACAUCAAGAACAACCCAAAAGGCAAGAUACUUUUAAGAUACAGGGGAUGGUCUAAGAAUUUUCCAUGGAUCACCUUGCCGAUUGAGUGGCUUCAGCGAAACUAAUUAACCUCCAGUCACUAGACAUCUACAAUACGGUACGGUGCCUUUUCUUCCCGAGAGAAGUUUAACUUGUCUGAACACUUAAGUCGAAGCACAAGAAGAGGAUCAUCCUAUCCAUCAUUUUAAAAGAAUGGCGACUUCUAUAUUCUGGCCAAUUUUGAUAUAUCAUGUUUUUUCGAAAUUGCAUUAACUGUACCCUGUUCUAGCUGUUGUUGGUUAAGCAUCUGAGAUAUACCGUGAAAAGGAGAGCAUUAGCCCUACAUAAGAGAAUUAUCUUUUACCUUCAUUUUCUUAGCUUUGGCAACAUUCUUUUGGAUUCAUUAUGAGAUAGCUUACCACAUAUGCCAUGUGAUAGUUGAGUUGACAACUUAAAGAGCAUACAUGUCCAAGAAUUUGUGUGCCAAGAUAUAUACAUACACUGUGCAUCCUUUUGCAUAGGAAUAUAUGCAGUUCCGAAAAGAACACAAGCAAAUUUCGACAAUUCAAAAGUACCUGAAGUCAAAAGGAAAUAUUUGUAUGAAGCUAAAUCUAGAUGUAGCUAAAUCAGGAGCAUGUUUAUAACUGUGAUAUGCAGAAACUCUGAUUUAUAAAGAUGUGAGCCAAUAAUAAUAAUAAUUUGA
rnacentral:lncRNA from 1 species